GUCAAGAUCACACCUCUUACUGUUAAAGACUAACACACACUGACUGACAGACACACAUGGACACACCCACUCACUCAAGGGCGUACCUAAAGCAUUUGGCACCCGGUGCUUUUCCUGUGUUUCCCUCCUACUUUAAAAUGUAAAAGAACACUGCAAUUGUUUUAAAAGGUUUCUUUUUAAAACAGUCAAACUUUGAAAAACUCCUGUCCCCUUCUACAAAACUCCUGCAGCCCCCUGCCAUAAAACUCCUGCACCCACCUUCCCAAAAAACCCUGUCUUUCCCUCUAAAGCCCUUGCUCAUCCUCUUACAAUAGAAUUCAUUUUUUUUACACAACAAUAUUAGCAACAGUCUUUAGAGUCCUGUCCCGGGCACAGUCACUCGCACUCAGUCACACACAC